UGUGGCGAUUGAUAGAGACCCCAAAAAUUCUCAUAUUAGGGACACACUGGGGCAAGUUCACAAAAACCACCUGUCACGGAUCUGGACUCAAAGAAAAUGGAGGAACGAACCAUGCACAGACAUAAAGACAUGUUUGGACAUUGCAAAGGAUGCCAUCGAUGCAUUUCAAGCUGAAGAGAAAGCAGCUAAAGAUGAGUUAGCAAACCCUAACACCACAUUCAACAACAGGGCCCUCUUUGGUUUUCUGCAGGUCUGCAAAGACAUUUUUAAACAAAAUGACCGUGAUUUCAUCAGUGGUCUCAGAGAAGAUGUUGAGCAGAAAUAUGAUUUCUUUGAAUGGUAUCUGGCAUACUCCAAACUGAGCUUCAAAGAGGAGGAACCAGACUACUUCCGUAGAGAUGUUGAAGACUGUUAUAAGCGAUAUUUUACACAGGAGACUCAGACUGAAGAAAAGACCCUGAAUGAGAAAAAAAAUAAGUCUUUUGGAGGACUGCUUCAUUUCUUAAAAUCAGACAUCAAUGCGUGUAAACAAAAUUUGAGUGGAAUUGAAAAACCCUUCUUGCCAACAUCAUCUUGAGUUUGUCAGGUGAAUCAUAUGAAACAACAGAAAAACUUCAGGCCAGGUUACAGAAACUUUGUGCAACAGAAGCUCAAGGCAGAAGCCCAGAGUUUUACCUCUUGGUCCUUUUGCUCUUUUGGACUAAAGAAGCACAGAAAGCAAAGGCAAACCCUCCAAACCUAGAAAACUGUGUCCAAUAUUUGAUUGAGUCAUAUAAGAGCAAGUAUGGGAAAUACCUCUGCGGUCGCUGCCUGGUGCCUCUGUUCUUCUUUGGGAAAGAAGGAGGUCUGCAGAGACUGGUUCAUGCCUUAAAACCCCAUAACAAAGGUUUGAGACUGGUUCAUUCAAAACUGCUUCAAACUGAUCUGGAGCUCCUCACUGAAGGAGAUGAAAGUGUGGAAGUCGAAUGUCUUCAGCGUAUCAAAGGGAAGGUCAAGAAUCACAGAGUGUUUGCUGUUAGAGAUGGGCAACAGAUUCCAGUCACUCCUCACAAUCCAUCCAGUGUGUGCAAACCAGACCAGGUGUCUUUCUACCUGGGCUUCACCAUCAGAGGACCAGUUGCCUACAACAUCAGAUAUAAUAAGAACUAGAUCAUGGAUUACUGAAUGCUGUCAUUCAGAGUAUAAAAUAAGCUAAACAAUGUUCCUCCAGUGACACGGGAAAUGCUCAAAACUUUCCUCUUUCUUCUCAGCUAGAUGUGUAAGCAAGACUGCACAAGAUCGAGACAACCUUUACUAAAUCAUGUUUACAUGAUAAUAUUCAGUGUGGUUAAAUGUGCAUAAAAAUGCAUGAUUUCACUCCUCGGCUAGGAGACUGUGGGACCAAAAUAAUCUAUUAACUCAAAUACAUUGUAAAUUCUAUUUAUUUUCAACAGUUUUAACCUCCUAAUAAUCUGUAAUGCAGUGAAAAUAAACACUGUUGGAAACUUUCA
ensembl:lncRNA